AGAGAGAGAGAGAGAACCGAGCGAAUUCGUUUGUUCCUGAAUCAAAUUGUUGGCUUGAAGCUGCUCCCUACCCAUCGAAGUUCCUUUGUACGAAUUCGGGUUCUCUUUGUCUCAAGGCUCCAACUCAAUAGGAAUCAAUCCCUUCAUUGUUCUGCUUGGGGAAGAAAGCAAUUGCAGAGAUCUCUCUUCCGGUCUCCAUUCUGAUGUGGAUAGAGAAGGAGAUAAAACAAGGUAGAUGAGGAGCUAAAUAGCCCAAUCGAUAUCGGACAAGUUGAUCGAGUAUUUUCUACAAAGUAUAAGUGGGCGGGGCGUUUGCACUCUUGAUUCAUUUAUGAGCUAGGUUUGUUAGGCUGUGAUGUGAUCAGACAUAAUAGAGUUUCUGUGUCGUCCAAUUGUGAAACUAUUGCGAGCAGAGCGGAAGUCCUAGACAGGGGUGCCGGGAGUUAGGGAGGAUCACCAGUAAAUAUAGUGGAAGAAAGCUAGACUGGGAAAACGUGGCUUUGCUUGCCAAUCUGUGUUGCAAAUGACCGAUCGAGUCUAAAUAUUGCUACAUUAGAAAUGCAAGUCGUGAAGAUGAAGCCCACAUUUGCAAUGAAGAAGAGCAAAUCAAAAUUUAUCUUGGCACAAAGAUUCCAGCAUAAAAAGAGUGGGGUACGUAACUGGGGCAGAAAAGGUGAAUCUCUAUCCAAGAAAGAACACGAAUAUGGAAUGAUUCUAUGAAAAAUAGAAUGGAGAUGAGAACAAUAAGAGUUGCCAUGUGUCUGCUCUGAAAGCAUUCCCCCUCUGCAAAAGAUUAGAACACAAUUUGAUUGGGGAUUUGGCUUU